ACCUACGGGGGGCAGCAGUGGGGAAUAUUGCGCAAUGGGGGAAACCCUGACGCAGCAACGCCGCGUGGAGGAUGAAGGCCUUCGGGUUGUAAACUCCUGUCUUCGCUGACGAAAAAUGACGGUAAGCGAGGAGGAAGCCACGGCUAACUACGUGCCAGCAGCCGCGGUAAUACGUAGGUGGCGAGCGUUGUCCGGAAUUACUGGGCGUAAAGGGUGCGUAGGCGGAAUAUUAAGUCAGAUGUGAAAUCCCAGAGCUCAACUUUGGAGUGGCAUUUGAAACUGGUAUUCUAGAGUGCAGGAGAGGAAAGCGGAAUUCCUAGUGUAGCGGUGAAAUGCGUAGAUAUUAGGAAGAACACCAGUGGCGAAGGCGGCUUUCUGGACUGUAACUGACGCUGAGGCACGAAAGCGUGGGGAGCAAACAGGAUUAGAUACCCUGGUAGU
rnacentral:rRNA from 1 species